CUUAUCUCUAAAGCAAAAUUCGCUUGGCCAGCGUUUGAAGAGGCUUCUUCCUACGUGGAUCCCUACUGUACGGGCGCGUGCAGACCACUUACUGUACAGGCCAGGAUGAUGGGGGGUUAACAGGCAAAUCCGUGAAGAAGGCGUCCAAGGGGAAAUUCGGGUCUAAAUCUACAGAAUCGAGCCUGAAAUCCAAGUCCACCAAUGAAGAAUUCGAAGCUGAAGUCAUGGCCGAGAUUAUUUCGUGGGGAUCAGAUUCUGCCGUCUGCAAAUUCGGCCCACCGCCGCAGCUAUUCAUCUGGCACGGCGACAUCGAGAAGUAGUUUGAUUCAGAUGUCGCCGGGGAUAUAAACGGCGAACAAAAACUGUUCAUGAAGUUAUUAUCGAGCGUAGACGGUGAAAAGAUUUCAUUUUCAGGCUUCAUGUAGUUGGUCGAUGCGGAUGGGAAUGAAAAAGAAGAAGAAUUCUUCUGGUCUCGUCUAUCCAAAUUUUCUGUUUUUACUUUGAGACCCUUUUGGAAGCUGACUAUCUCUUGCUCUUGUUGCUGUUGCUGCUCUUGUGUUUUCAUCGGCUGAAUAAUAUGGGAUGGUUGGUGGCAUGUGUGUUUCCCACGGUAUGAGAUAUCAAAGAUCGACGGAUCUUCAUCUGAUCUCUGAACUUGCUUGGUCGCCUGACACCCUAAAACGUUACGGUGGGUGCAUCUGUAAUAGCCUCUGCAACCGAAACAAACCCUAGUUAGAAAAUGAAAAAUCCAAAGCUUUUAUUCAUGUAUGUACUGAUGUAGGCAAUAAUCUCCACUUUCAAUCUAUGUAUGGAUUGUGAUCUAACCGUUCAUGGGUCAAUAUUUUUAUUGAUUUGCAUAAGGACUGCCAUCUUUGACCAGGUCAUCUGUGAGUAGAGAAGGGUGUUUAUCUGAUGUUGACAGUUAUCAAUAUGUUGCCGCGGCUUUGACGUUGCACCGGGCCACAAUCCAUCUUAGAAAAAAACCAUGUACCACACCCAUAAUUUAAAGCACCUUUUGAGGAUGGGACCAUGAGGUCUUGUCUUGAUUAAUGUAAGUUACGCAUGGGACAUCGUCCACGAAAGGUAAUUAGCAUUGAAACAUGUAUGGAUGUUUCUGUA